AAUGCCCCAAAUGAGGAACAGGUGCUUCAGGGUAACAUCAAGCACGGAUGUUACUUCUCAUUGGGAGCUGCAGCCUGCCCAGUGAAUAUCCAGGGAACCCGUUUGAUUUCAGGGCCAUGUUGCUGCCUCUGUUGACAGAGUUGGAACAGUGCUGGGAUCGGCAGAUACAGGAUCCCUGUAUCCUGUAUAAACCCAGGCUGCCCUGAGGAAGGUUUGAGGAGCACAAGAUCUAAAAAUAAAAAGAGAGAGACACAGGAGGAGGGAGUGCUAAGGGCAUGAGCCUUGGAGUUCACCCAGCCUCAGUUUGAGUCUUAGCUUCAGCCUUCAUUAGCUGUGAGACCUUGGACCACUACUUUCCCUCUCUGAGCUAGUCGCUUCAUCCAAAACACAAUAAUAUCAGGGUUGUUAUGAGGGCUCAAAGUAAUGUAAGCAGGUGGUGAGCACAGUGCCUGGCACCCAGUAGGGGCUCCAUAAUGGAAGCCGUUACAGUUACAUUGCGCCGGGUGGCUGAUGCCUUUCACAGAGCCCGUCCCCUCCUCCACACACACACACCAUGCCUGACAUGCCCAGGGUCCCUAGCAAAGUAACUGGCUUAUGAUUUAUACUUCUCUCCAUGCUGACCCCAUAUCCAAACCAGAUGGAGAUCGUAGUCAUGCCAACAACCAGCAUUUGCGUUUCCCUUCCUGGCUUAUAAAGCACACACAUCCACAUCCCACUUCUCCAUUCUCAGAGCUACCUUGUUGGGUAUUUGUGCAUCCAUACUAUUUUCAGAAGAGAAAGUGAAGGCUUAGAGAGGGUAAGUGAGGUGCCCAAAGUCACACAAUGUACAAAUGGCAGACCCAAGACUGAAGUUCAGUGUCCUUUCUGCCACUGCAAACUCCCUGUUGCUCAGCACCCUGCCAUGAAAGGAGAAAAACAUACCCAUCCCCUCUCCGAGACAACACUUCGCAUCUCUCCAGGGCUGUCUGCUAGGAAAUUAACCAAUUUACCUGUGACAAUGCAGAAGCAGCUGUCAAUAGCUUACCCUUCCCAAGACCUCGUACCUCCUGGGUGUUUGUGAAGUGAAGCAGCCACAAGUUUAUUCUCCCACGUUACUCGGCACUGGCCAUCUGCAGAUGAAACAGUGAAUCAUGGAGACAAGUAGAACCCAUGGAGGCCACCCUGUCCACCACCGCAUUAUAUCUGAGUGUGGACCCUGGAACUCCACUGUGAGCCCAUCUCUAAUAUGGCCAUAGACGUCUAAGAGGGAGCAGUAAAAAAGGAAAGAAAAUGGACUUGGGAGCAGGAAUUUCACAUCCCAGUCCUGGUUCUCCUGCUGGAUAAAUCACCUCACCAUUCUGGUCCUCAAACUCUUCAUGGAUCAAGAGAUGGUGGUUGACCAGAUGACUACAGAGAUCUUUCCGGCUCUAAGAUGUCAUGGAAUGCUUUGUGAAUUAGAAUUGGAGUAUGAGGUGUGUGUGCUUGGUCACUGGUGCCUACAUCUGCAUCACUGAUUUCCAGGAAGAUUAACACAAAAGGAGUUAAUGUUUUCUCUGAGUCAGAACACCCAAUACAUCCCACCUGCCAUAAGAACAUAUCUUCAACUCACCGUUGUUGCCCUCCCAAUAGCUGAAUUCUAAAUUAGAGGCUUUUAUAACUCAAGAAUGAAUCCGUAAAUAUGUCUCCUAGGUAACAUCUUGUUAGCUUCAUUGCUCAAAGCCCUUGAAAAUAAUAGAACUGCAUUUCUUUUUAAAAAUAGUAACUCAGACAUCUCAUUUAGGCCUCCCACCCAAUUAGUCUGAAUUAGUAAAAUGUGUUCAUUUCUUUCCCGAUGAGAACAUUGAA
ensembl:lncRNA